GUAGAGCAUGACUGUAUGUCACUUUGGAUAAAAGUGUCUGCUAAAUGGCAUAUA
rfam:Salmo salar isolate Sally breed double haploid chromosome ssa10, whole genome shotgun sequence.